rnacentral:tRNA from 1 species
GGUGGCUCAGCGGUAGAGUGCUUGUCUCGCAUGCAUGAGGCCCUGGGUUCAAUUCCUCAGCACCG